rnacentral:rRNA from 1 species
UACGUAGGGGGCAAGCGUUGUCCGGAAUCAUUGGGCGUAAAGAGCGUGUAGGCGGUUCAGUAAGUCCGCUGUGAAAGUCAAGGGCUCAACCCUUGAAUGCCGGUGGAUACUGUUGAACUAGAGUCCGGAAGAGGCGAGUGGAAUUCCUGGUGUAGCGGUGAAAUGCGCAGAUAUCAGGAGGAACACCGAUUGCGAAGGCAGCUCGCUGGGACGGUACUGACGCUGAGACGCGAAAGCGUGGGGAGCAAACAGG